UUUAUUUGGUGUCAUGGGGAAUCAGGACUGUUACUUUGAAAAAAUUAGAGUCGUUUAAAGCAGGCUCACGCUUGAAUACAUUAGCAUGGAAUAAUGAAAUAGGACGUUUGAUUCUAUUUUGUUGGUUUCUAAGAUCGACGUAAUGAUUAAUAGGGAUAGUUGGGGGCAUUAGUAUUCAAUUGUCAGAGGUGAAAUUCUUGGAUUUAUUGAAGACUAACUACUGCGAAAGCAUUUGCCAAGGAUGUUUUCAUUAAUCAAGAACGAAAGUUAGGGGAUCGAAGACGAUCAGAUACCGUCGUAGUCUUAACCAUAAACUAUGCCGACUAGGGAUCGGAUGAUGUUAAUUUUUUAAUGACUCAUUCGGCGCCUUACG
rnacentral:rRNA from 1 species